AUAUGGCUCAGAUUGAACGCUGCGGCAGGCCUAACACAUGCAAGUCGAACGGUAACAGGAAGAAGCUUGCUCUUGCUGACGAGUGGCGGACGGGUGAGUAAUGUCUGGGAAACUGCCUGAUGAGGGGGAUAACACUGGAAACGGUAGCUAAUACCGCAUAACGUCGCAAGACCAAAGAGGGGGACCUUCGGGCCUCUUGCCAUCGGAUGUGCCCAGAUGGGAUUAGCUAGUAGGUGGGGUAACGGCUCACCUAGGCGACGAUCCCUAGCUGGUCUGAGAGGAUGACCCAGCCACACUGGAACUGAGACACGGUCCAGACUCCUACGGGAGGCAGCAGUGGGGAAUAUUGCACAAUGGGCGCAAGCCUGAUGCAGCCAUGCCGCGUGUAUGAAGAAGGCCUUCGGGUUGUAAAGUACUUUCAGCGGGGAGGAAGGGAGUAAAGUUAAUACCUUUGCUCAUUGACGUUACCCGCAGAAGAAGCACCGGCUAACUCCGUGCCAGCCGCUGC
rnacentral:rRNA from 1 species